GACAUACUCCCUCUGUCCCAAAAUUCUCAUCUUAGAUUUGUCUAAAUACGGAUGUAUCAAGUCACGUUUUAGUAUUAGAUACAUCCAUAUCUAGACUAAUUUAAGACACAAAUUUUGGGAUGGAGGGAUUAUAUA
rfam:Triticum aestivum genome assembly, contig: Triticum_aestivum_CS42_TGACv1_scaffold_290854_4AL